GACGAACGCUGGCGGCGCGCCUAAUACAUGCAAGUUGAGCGCUGAAGGUUGGUACUUGUACCGACUGGAUGAGCAGCGAACGGGUGAGUAACGCGUGGGGAAUCUGCCUUUGAGCGGGGGACAACAUUUGGAAACGAAUGCUAAUACCGCAUAAAAACUUUAAACACAAGUUUUAAGUUUGAAAGAUGCAAUUGCAUCACUCAAAGAUGAUCCCGCGUUGUAUUAGCUAGUUGGUGAGGUAAAGGCUCACCAAGGCGAUGAUACAUAGCCGACCUGAGAGGGUGAUCGGCCACAUUGGGACUGAGACACGGCCCAAACUCCUACGGGAGGCAGCAGUAGGGAAUCUUCGGCAAUGGACGAAAGUCUGACCGAGCAACGCCGCGUGAGUGAAGAAGGUUUUCGGAUCGUAAAACUCUGUUGGUAGAGAAGAACGUUGGUGAGAGUGGAAAGCUCAUCAAGUGACGGUAACUACCCAGAAAGGGACGGCUAACUACGUG
rnacentral:rRNA from 1 species